GGCGGGAGUCGGGCGGACGGUGCCGUCGCCAACCCGGUCAGAUCCGGAAGGAAGCAGCCGCAACGAUUUCGUAUCGGGUCGUUCCGGCUCCCACCCUU
rnacentral:SRP_RNA from 1 species